AGCGUAACUUUUUCAUCUUCUUCAACAUUAGCAAAUCAGAUCCCCCACCCGUUCUCUUCUUCUUCAACAAUAGCCAACCCUCAGUCGCCGACACACACGCACAGUCGCCGAUGGACAGAGAAUCGGCGAACACCAUAGCCAUCGCUGCCUCUGCUUCUUCCCAUUAACAACGAACCAGCAACCCCUAAACUUGGAGCAACAACCAGGUUGAUCCCCGCCAGCUUUUCUCCAACUCACCGGAAACCAGCUGAAGUAGAGUGAAAGAUCAACGACCAUCUAUUUCGUUCAUAUUUUUUAAAAAAAAAUGAUGUUUCUGUCUUGAAUUGGUUUGGAUUUACAAAAGUAGUUUCAAUCUCAUCUUUCAAUUCUGAUUUUUAAAAAUGGGAGUUUAUUUGAGGUUCAAGUUUGAUUUUCGGUCUUGAUUUGAGAUCACCGUCCGAGGUUCAAUCCGGGCUCCGAGGUCGUGGUUCCUGUUUCUCUUUGGUAGCUGACUUCAUCGAAGUUUUUUUUGGCGUUCAUUGUACUAUUUUGGACAGAAUCAUAUUGAAGAAGCUUUCUUUAUCGAGGCACUGGAGGUUCUUCACUGGUGAAUUUCUGCAUACCAAGUGUGGUAAGCCAGAAGAACACCUUUUGCUUCCAUCCUUUGAAGUUGGCUCCAGAAAAUUUCCCUGAUUUCUCGGCCGGUAGAACAACAAUUCGGCUUGAUGAGGCUAUCAUCAUUGUCGCAACAGUCGCAGAAGGAUUUCCAUUAUCAAUUGUCAUUUCUCACUGUGAACAACAGAAGAGUUCAAUUAAUGGCAAAAAAUAGAACAGUUAACAAUAUUGUAAUUAACGAUAAGUAGUACGUUUAAUAAAUAAAAAUCAAAGUUUUUACA